GAUGAACGCUGGCGGCGUGCCUAAUACAUGCAAGUCGAGCGAACGGACGAGAAGCUUGCUCUUCUGAUGUUAGCGGCGGACGGGUGAGUAACACGUGGAUAACCUACCUAUAAGACUGGGAUAACUUCGGGAAACCGGAGCUAAUACCGGAUAAUAUUUUGAACCGCAUGGUUCAAAAGUGAAAGACGGUCUUGCUGUCACUUAUAGAUGGAUCCGCGCUGCAUUAGCUAGUUGGUAAGGUAACGGCUUACCAAGGCAACGAUGCAUAGCCGACCUGAGAGGGUGAUCGGCCACACUGGAACUGAGACACGGUCCAGACUACUACGGGAGGCAGCAGUAGGGAAUCUUCCGCAAUGGGCGAAAGCCUGACGGAGCAACGCCGCGUGAGUGAUGAAGGUCUUCGGAUCGUAAAACUCUGUUAUUAGGGAAGAGCAUAUGUGUAAGUAACUGUGCACAUCUUGACGGUACCUAAUCAGAAAGCCACGGCUAACUACGUG
rnacentral:rRNA from 1 species